GUUUCGCAUGAAGGUAACAAGGAUUUGUCCGCUCUUGGCCCGGACAAUAUUGCUAGUCGCAUUAGUCAGUUAGAAGAGCAGGUUAGUCAGGGGAUGAAAAUGCUCUCGGACAAGACGACUAAGCGAGGACGUGGCCGCCCAAAGGGCACGGGAAAGGGCAUGGGAAGGGAGCCGAUGCAAGCGGUUCCGGAAGAUAGCAUAAAAGGUCGUCUCAGAAAUGCGGGGGAAAUGGGCUACAAGCCG
rnacentral:lncRNA from 1 species